AUGUAGAAGUUGUCCCAUCAUAGCUUGGAUUCAAAUUCAAACUCAAUUCAUGAUUCAAACCGAGGCCAAAAGCAGAAACCGCAUUUCUACCACUACCAAUAACAGGACUAAAGCGGCCACCAACAGAGCCUAGAUUGUUAUAAAAACCAGGACCAGGAGCAAAGUUAUUAAAGUAGCUAUUAGCAGACAUCCUAUUAGAGCCGCCUCCAUAGUUAAGACCCCCAGGAAGCGGGCUUCGGUUACUAGAGGUAGGCGAAAUCUCCUUAGGUACGGCUCUUUUGACCUCGACUAGUUUUCCAUUGAGCUCAUGAAAUGUCUUGUGAAGAACCCUAUCAACAGCAUCAUCUGAAUCAAAUGUGAUGAAGCCAAAACCUCUUGGCCUCUGCGUGUUAUGAUCAUACAUUACCACAACAUCAGCAAUUGUACCAAACUGAUCAAAGUAGUUCUGAAAC
rnacentral:lncRNA from 1 species